CACGUAGGGGCAAGCGUUGUCCGGAUUUAUUGGGCGUAAAGAGCUCGUAGGUGGUUCGAUAAGUCGGGUGUGAAACCUCCAGGCUCAACCUGGAGACGCCACCCGAUACUGUCGUGACUAGAGUCCAGUAGGGAGCGUGGAAUUCCUGGUGUAGCGGUGAAAUGCGCAGAUAUCAGGAGGAACACCAGCGGCGAAGGCGGCGCCUCUGGGCUGGCACUGACACUGAGGAGCGAAAGCGUGGGGAGCGAACAGG
rnacentral:rRNA from 1 species